rnacentral:rRNA from 1 species
GAGCGGUGGAAUGCGCAGAUAUCAGGAGGAACACCAGUGGCGAAGGCGGUUCUCUGGGCCUUUCCUGACGCUGAGGAGCGAAAGCGUGGGGAGCGAACAGGCUUAGAUACCCUGGUAGUCCACGCUGUAAACGGUGGGUACUAGGUGUGGGGUCCAUUCCACGGGUUCCGUGCCGUAGCUAACGCUUUAAGUACCCCGCCUGGGGAGUACGGCCGCAAGGCUAAAACUCAAAGGAAUUGACGGGGCCCCGCACAAGCGGCGGAGCAUGCGGAUUAAUUCGAUGCAACGCGUAGAACCUUACCUGGGUUUGACAUGGAUCGGGAGUGCUCAGAGAUGGGUGUGCCUCUUUUGGGGUCGGUUCACAGGUGGUGCAUGGCUGUCGUCAGCUCGUGUCGUGAGAUGUUGGGUUAAGUCCCGCAACGAGCGCAACCCUUGUUCACUGUUGCCAGCACGUUAUGGUGGGGACUCAGUGGAGACCGCCGGGGUCAACUCGGAGGAAGGUGGGGAUGACGUCAAGUCAUCAUGCCCCUUAUGUCCAGGGCUUCACGCAUGCUACAAUGGCUGGUACAGAGAGUGGCGAGCCUGUGAGGGUGAGCGAAUCUCGGAAAGCCGGUCUCAGUUCGGAUUGGGGUCUGCAACUCGACCUCAUGAAGUCGGAGUCGCUAGUAAUCGCAGAUCAGCAACGCUGCGGUGAAUACGUUCCCGGGGCUUGUACACACCGCCCGUCAAGUCAUGAAAGUUGGUAACACCCGAAGCCGGUGGCCUAACCGUUGUGGGGGAGCCGUCGAAGGUG